rnacentral:rRNA from 1 species
CCUAGUAACUGCGAGUGAAGCGGGAAAAGCUCAAAUUUGAAAUCUGGCAGUUCUUGACUGUCCGAGUUGUAAUCUAGAGAAGUGCUUACCUGUGCUGGACCGUGUACAAGUCUCCUGGAAUGGGGCAUCAUAGAGGGUGAGAAUCCCGUCUUUGACACGGACUACCUGUACAUCAUGGUGUGCUCUCGAAGAGUCGAGUUGUUUGGGAAUGCAGCUCAAAAUGGGUGGUAAAUGCCAUCUAAAGCUAAAUAUUGGCGAGAGACCGAUAGCGAACAAGUACCGUGAGGGAAAGAUGAAAAGAACUUUGGAAAGAGAGUUAAACAGUACGUGAAAUUGCUGAAAGGGAAACGCUUGAAGUCAGUCGCGUUGGCUAGGAAUCAGCCUUGCUCUUGCUUGGUGUACUUUCUGGUCGACGGGUCAGCAUCAAUUUUGACCACUGGAUAAAGUCCUUGGGAAUGUGGCAUCUUCGGAUGUGUUAUAGCCCAUCGUCGCAUACGGUGGUUGGGAUUGAGGAACUCAGCACGCCGCAAGGCCGGGUUUCGACCACGUUUCGUGCUUAGGAUGCUGGCAUAAUGGCUUUAAUCGACCCGUCUUGAAACACGGACCAAGGAGUCUAACAUGCCUGCGAGUGUUUGGGUGGAAAAACCCAUGCGCGCAAUGAAAGUGAAAGUUGAGAUCCCCCUUCCAAGGGGAGCAUUGACGCCCGGACCAGACCUUUUGUGACGGAUCCGCGGUAGAGCAUGUAUGUUGGGACCCGAAAGAUGGUGAACUAUGCCUGAAUAGGGUGAAGCCAGAGGAAACUCUGGUGGAGGCU